ACACUUAGAACAGUUAGAUGGCUUUAAUGGUUCCCUUGGCUUUGACACUGGGAUAGAGCAAUGUGUGUUUUUUACCUCUGCAUUGAAUAGACUGUUUAUCCUUUUGAAUGCAUUCAGAAAGUCAACACAUUA
rnacentral:snoRNA from 12 species